rnacentral:rRNA from 1 species
UGGGGAAUAUUGCACAAUGGACGGAAGUUUGAUGCAGCGACGCCGCGUGGAGGGUGUAGGCCUUCGGGUUGUGAACUCCUUUUUCUCGCGAAAAAGGCACAGUUUUGGCUGUGUUGAUGGUAGUGGGGGAAGAAGCGCCGGCUAACUACGUGCCAGCAGCCGCGGUAAUACGUAGGGCGCGAGCGUUGUCCGGAUUUAUUGGGCGUAAAGAGCUCGUAGGUGGUUCGUCGCGUCUGUCGUGAACGCCAGCAGCUUAACUGUUGGUCUGCGGUGGGUACGGGCGGGCUUGAGUGCGGUAGGGGUGACUGGAAUUCCUGGUGUAGCGGUGGAAUGCGCAGAUAUCAGGAGGAACACCGAUGGCGAAGGCAGGUCACUGGGCCGUUACUGACACUGAGGAGCGAAAGCGUGGGGAGCGAACAGG